GAAUAGGUUACAAACAUGAGGGGUGGUUUUUGAAUAAAUAGAAAGAUUAUAUAUAAAAUAAAAAUAAAAACCCCAACUACCCAUAUCUGGGCGUGGAACGAUCGAACAGAGAGGAGAAAGAAAGGGGUGAAACCCUAAUUCAUGAGCAGACCUUCAAAUUGAAAGGGGAAUUGAAGCCUAGUUGAAUGCAUGAACUAAGAAUGAUGAUCCUCUAAGCAUACCCAACAUCAAAAUUGAUUCAUGUACCGCACGAGCAUGGAAAGCAAGUGGUAAAGAAAAGAGGAAGCAAGGCAACGGAAGCAUGUACGAAACGGACACUCGAGGUAUACAAAUAAUGGAAGUUGUAGGUUUGACACUAAAAUCCAAUGAUGGUGUUCGAAUGGAUGGAUGAAUGGAUUAACAUAAGCGAAAGCAUGAGAUGUUGCGUGGAUUUAGCAUCAUUAUGAAGGAUAGAAAGAUUGAAGAUCGAGUCAAGAGCAAAGGAUUGUACGGGAAAGAUCGGUCACAUAGUUUAGCAAAUGUAGGUCCGAAGUAUUAAUAUAAUGGAACGUGGUAAAUCCUUUUUAAUGAAUGUAUGACAUUUGAUAUUCGAACUUUCCUGUAAGUACUAUGUCUAUUAAAGAACGAAAUUUUGGGUUCA